rnacentral:rRNA from 1 species
UGGGGAAUAUUGGACAAUGGGCGAAAGCCUGAUCCAGCCAUGCCGCGUGUGUGAAGAAGGUCUUCGGAUUGUAAAGCACUUUAAGUUGGGAGGAAGGGCAGUAAAUUAAUACUUUGCUGUUUUGACGUUACCGACAGAAUAAGCACCGGCUAACUCUGUGCCAGCAGCCGCGGUAAUACAGAGGGUGCAAGCGUUAAUCGGAAUUACUGGGCGUAAAGCGCGCGUAGGUGGUUCGUUAAGUUGGAUGUGAAAGCCCCGGGCUCAACCUGGGAACUGCAUCCAAAACUGGCAAGCUAGAGUACGGUAGAGGGUGGUGGAAUUUCCUGUGUAGCGGUGAAAUGCGUAGAUAUAGGAAGGAACACCAGUGGCGAAGGCGACCACCUGGACUGAUACUGACACUGAGGUGCGAAAGCGUGGGGAGCAAACA